GAUUAACGCUAGCGGCAGGCCUAAUACAUGCAAGUCGAACGGCAGCGGGUGUAGCAAUACAUGCCGGCGAGUGGCGCACGGGUGCGUAACGCGUAUGCAAUCUACCUAUAACUGGGGAAUAGCCUUCCGAAAGGAAGAUUAAUACCGCAUAACAUCACGGAACGGCAUCGUUUUGUGAUCAAAACUCAGGUGGUUAUAGAUGAGCAUGCGUGACAUUAGCUAGUUGGUGAGGUAACGGCUCACCAAGGCGACGAUGUCUAGGGGGUCUGAGAGGAUGAUCCCCCACACUGGUACUGAGACACGGACCAGACUCCUACGGGAGGCAGCAGUAAGGAAUAUUGGACAAUGGCCGCAAGGCUGAUCCAGCCAUGCCGCGUGAAGGAUGAAGGUGCUAUGCAUUGUAAACUUCUUUUGUCUGGGGCGAAAAAGACUCGUUUACGAGUAACUGACGGUACCAGAAGAAUAAGCACCGGCUAACUCCGU
rnacentral:rRNA from 1 species